AACGCACAUUGCGCCCGCCAGCACUCUGGCGGGCAUGCCUGUUCGAGCGUCAUUAUCAACCCUCAAGCCCCAGCGGGCUUGGUGUUGGGGACCGGCGGGACCCAGCCUCUGCAGCAGCAAGGCGUGGGCUCGCCGCCCCCGAAAUGAAUUGGCGGUCCCGUCGCGGCCUCCUCUGCGUAGUAGCACAACCUCGCAGCCGGGAGCGCGGCGCGACCACUGCCGUAAAACGCCCUUCUAGAGUUGACCUCGAAUCAGGUAGGAGUACCCGCUGAACUUAA
rnacentral:misc_RNA from 1 species